GCUUACGACCAUAUCACGUUGAAUACACGCCAUCCCGUCCGAUCUGGCAAGUUAAGCAACGUUGAGUCCAGUUAGUACUUGGAUCGGAGACGGCC
rnacentral:rRNA from 1 species